rnacentral:rRNA from 1 species
UAACCUGCCCAAGAGAUCGGGAUAACACCUAGAAACAGAUGCUAAUACCGGAUAACAACAGAUGAUGCCUAUCAACUGUUUAAAAGAUGGUUCUGCUAUCACUCUUGGAUGGACCUGCGGUGCAUUAGCUAGUUGGUAGGGUAACGGCCUACCAAGGCGAUGAUGCAUAGCCGAGUUGAGAGACUGAUCGGCCACAUUGGGACUGAGACACGGCCCAAACUCCUACGGGAGGCAGCAGGC